AGUUAUUUGUAGGCUUUUGUGUUUUGUUGUUUAUGUGUGUCUCUGACUAAUAUCGAAGUCACAGCUAUUUAAACUAUUUGCUAAUAUUUUUCAGGUGCUGAAUGGAGUGUUCUCCUCUCUAGCUGCACAAGAAUUUUCCUUGAGAAGACACUAGGUGCUGAAUACAGCUUUUAUGUCUUCUCUCCUCUCCUGCUCCACAAGAACGUUCCUGUGAGGAAUGGUCCUAGAUCUACAUACCUACACGGAAGAAGUUCCUGCUGAGUCAUUGAACAAAAAGUAGAUUAAGUUUCAAAUGCUUUCGGCAAAUGUAAUUGAUAAUUUAGAUAAACUUGAUAGUGUUCAGUAUUCAACCAAUACGGGAUAUUACAAUGGAUGACAACUUUAUUAAUCCACUUUACGAGCUCAGCGCCCCUUAAUGCUCAUUUAUCAUACUACAGUAUGCAGAGAAGUUCGUAAAAGCUAUAGAGGUUAGCGUGGUGGAUUAAGCUCCGAUCCUUCUCCUACUUGAAAAAAGAGGCCUAGUGUGCUCAUAGCUGUGGGAUGUAUCGCAGUAUAUCUACGAAUAUAUAAAUUUUUUUUGUUAGCUGUUGUGAUCGACAUGCCUUCAAUAAUGUAACUUUUUUUGUAUAACAACUUUCAAUUUGAAAAGAGAUUUUCCUCUCGGCCUACACUAGAGACAUUAGGUUAAAUAAUUUGUUGUAAUAUUUAUUUUAUAAA